AACAGUCUCCCAGGAAAGCUGGGCAGUGCAACCGCCCAGGUUAGGCGGUGGCACCACCUGGGCUCAGUCUCCGAGUGAGACUGGGUGGUGCAACCGCCCUUGUCAGGCGGUGACACCGCCCAGAGGCUCAAUCUCCAAGCUGCCAAGCGGUUGUACCACCCCAAUCAGGAGGUAGUACCGCCAGGUCCUCGAAAAUCCGGGAAAAGACAUUUUUG
rnacentral:lncRNA from 1 species